AUGAUAAGUCCUUCAGACAAGAGAAAUGACACCAAAUGGAAAUAUGGAUCUCUGAGGAUGAAGCAGUAUAAUAAGAGGAAUGGGAUACAGGUGUGUGAAUCAUCAGUCUCACACAGUUCACAGCACUCACCACAGCAAGUACCCUCCCUGUCGCUCUUGGCCCGCAAGAACGACCCGCAGACGAGACAUGUUAAGGAGACUGGAAAGACAAUCUGCGAAAGGCCUUGAACUACAGCAAAACAGAGAGUGAGAAACAAUGACCACCAAUUGUUCCUGAACCUCAUAUGGACAGCAAUCCUCACCUGAAAAAGACUGACCUUCUCAAUUCCAAAUUUUAAAAAAUCACAGGCAUAUGUAAUGUUCUCAGGCUUUGUCAGCUGGGUUUUAGAUUUUGUAAAAAUUCAGGAUUUGGGUUAGAGUAGCUGAUUUCAACUCCCAGAGGCAACAUGAGAGUUACCUUAACUGAGCUACUUAAUUGUUCCUUUCUCAGAUGUCUUAUCUAUAAAGUAGAGAUCUCUGCCUUAUAUACUUACAGCAUCCUAAAAAUUAAAAAAGCACCAGGGAAAUGAAUAACAUUAUUAUUAGUAUUAAAUGUUAAAGAGAUAGAAAUUAUUAAUAUUUUAUGCAUUACCCUUCCUUGCUUUUCAAGAGGUCCAUCUAAAUAGUUUGUCUUCAUCAUAUCUGAGACUACAUAUAUAUAUAUAUAUAAAUAUAUAUAUAUAUAACUGUGACUAUAUAUGUAUGUAUGGAUAUAUGUAUAUAUAGUUACAUAUAUAUAUAUGUAACUGUAACUAUACACACUCACACACACAUUCAUGUCUAGGUAAUUAAUGGGACAUAUUAGUUCAACUGAACAAUUGUUAACUCUCUAUGUGCAAAGAUGUAGAAGGCCCAGUAAGUGGUAAUACUAAGGAAAUACAUGUAAAUUAGUGUUACCUUUUCAAGGUAUCUCUUUAGGAAGCCACAUGUUCAUCAUUUCAGCCAUGCUGCUAAUAACCCAAGUAUUUCUGGUACUUCUUUUUAGAACUAUACUCAGUUUAUAAGCCAAUAUAAGCAUUAUAGUCUAUAUUAUCAUAUAUUGUACUAUAUUAUAUUAAAAUUUAUAGCUAAUACCAAAAAAAAGAGUGUGUCUUGGCCCAAAUUUGUGGAAACUUUAUAGACAUCUGUAAAAGAAAUUUUGACUUUUUAGUACUUUUAUAUUGUAUCUAGAGGUCUUCUAAACCUGUAUGAAACUCUCUUUGAUAUGCUUUCUGAGGCAAAGUUAUAUAUUUCACUAAUAUGGAAGCUAAAUUAUUUAAAAUAGUUGACUUUUAAAUGAAAAAAAAUCUACAAGCCAAAAUGAAGACAUAUUAUGAACCUCCCAGGAAACAUCUAUAUUCAGAUAUUACUUAAUUAGCUGAUUCUUAAAGCACUUGUCAAUCACAUCACUUCAGUAAUUCUUUCAAAGCCCUUUUGGAAACAUAAAAAGAAUAGUCAAUAAAGAUGUGUCCAGAAUGUCAUUUGAAUUUCAUUAUGUUUGUAAAUAUGUGUGAAUGUAUGUGUGUA
rnacentral:lncRNA from 1 species